UACAGAGGUCCCGAGCGUUGUUCGGAUUCACUGGGCGUAAAGGGUGCGUAGGUGGCUUGAAAAGUUUGAUGUGAAAGCUCAGGGCUUAACCCUGAAAUGGCAUUGAAUACUGUCGGGCUGGAGGUUUGGAGGGGGGACUGGAAUUCUUGGUGUAGCAGUGAAAUGCGUAGAUAUCAAGAGGAACACCAGUGGCGAAGGCGAGUCCCUGGACAACACCUGACACUGAGGCACGAAAGCUGGGGGAGCAAACAGG
rnacentral:rRNA from 1 species